rnacentral:rRNA from 1 species
AUUGAACGCUGGCGGCAGGCCUAACACAUGCAAGUCGAGCGGAUGAAGGGAGCUUGCUCCUGGAUUCAGCGGCGGACGGGUGAGUAAUGCCUAGGAAUCUGCCUGGUAGUGGGGGAUAACGUCCGGAAACGGGCGCUAAUACCGCAUACGUCCUGAGGGAGAAAGUGGGGGAUCUUCGGACCUCACGCUAUCAGAUGAGCCUAGGUCGGAUUAGUUAGUUGGUGGGGUAAAGGCCCACCAAGGCGACGAUCCGUAACUGGUCUGAGAGGAUGAUCAGUCACACUGGAACUGAGACACGGUCCAGACUCCUACGGGAGGCAGCAGUGGGGAAUAUUGGACAAUGGGCGAAAGCCUGAUCCAGCCAUGCCGCGUGUGUGAAGAAGGUCUUCGGAUUGUAAAGCACUUUAAGUUGGGAGGAAGGGCAGUAAGUUAAUACCUUGCUGUUUUGACGUUACCAACAGAAUAAGCACCGGCUAACUUCGUG